rnacentral:rRNA from 1 species
CAGUAGCCGCGGGAAUACAGAGGGUGCGAGCGUUAAUCGGAUUUACUGGGCGUAAAGCGUGCGUAGGCGGCUUCUUAAGUCGGAUGUGAAAUCCCUGAGCUUAACUUAGGAAUUGCAUUCGAUACUGGGAAGCUAGAGUAUGGGAGAGGAUGGUAGAAUUCCAGGUGUAGCGGUGAAAUGCGUAGAGAUCUGGAGGAAUACCGAUGGCGAAGGCAGCCAUCUGGCCUAAUACUGACGCUGAGGUACGAAAGCAUGGGGAGCAGACAGGAUUAGAUACCCGCGUAGUCCCUGUCUCUUAUAC